rnacentral:rRNA from 1 species
ACGGAGGGAGCUAGCGUUGUUCGGAAUUACUGGGCGUAAAGCGCACGUAGGCGGCUUUGUAAGUCAGAGGUGAAAGCCUGGAGCUCAACUCCAGAACUGCCUUUGAGACUGCAUCGCUUGAAUCCAGGAGAGGUGAGUGGAAUUCCGAGUGUAGAGGUGAAAGUCGUGGAUAUGCGGAAGAGCAGCAGAGGCGAAGGCGGCUCACUGGACUGGUAUUGAUGCUGAGGUGCGUUAGCAUCGGGAGCAAACAG